UACGAGGGGUGCAAGCGCUGCUCGGAAUUAUUGGGCGUAAAGGGUAGGUAGGUGGUCUUAUUUGUCUGAUGUGAAAUCCUUGGGCUUAACUCAAGAAGCGCGUCAGAAACGGUAAGACUAGAGUCCUGGAGAGGGUCGUGGAAUUCCCGGUGUAGCGGUGAAAUGCGUAGAGAUCGGGAGGAACACCAGAGGCGAAGGCGGCGACCUGGACAGGCACUGACACUCAACUACGAAAGCGUGGGGAGCAAACAGG
rnacentral:rRNA from 1 species